AUUGAACGCUGGCGGCAGGCCUAACACAUGCAAGUCGGACGGUAGCACAGAGGAGCUUGCUCCUUGGGUGACGAGUGGCGGACGGGUGAGUAAUGUCUGGAGAUCUGCCCGAUAGAGGGGGAUAACCACUGGAAACGGUGGCUAAUACCGCAUAACGUCGCAAGACCAAAGAGGGGGACCUUCGGGCCUCUCACUAUCGGAUGAACCCAGAUGGGAUUAGCUAGUAGGCGGGGUAAUGGCCCACCUAGGCGACGAUCCCUGGCUGGUCUGCGGGGAUGACCGCCCAGACGGGAACGGAGACACGGUCCAGAUUCGUAAGGGAGGCGGGAGUGGGGAAUAUUGCACAAUGGGCGCAAGCCUGAUGCAGCGAUGCCGCGUGUAUGAAGAAGGGCGUCGGGUUGUAAAGUACUUUCGGCGGGGAGGAAGGCGGUGAAGUGAAUAAGCGUGCCGAGUGACGUUACCCGCAGAAGAAGCACCGGCUAACUCCGUGCCAGCAGCCGCCGUAA
rnacentral:rRNA from 1 species